rnacentral:rRNA from 1 species
GACGAACGCUGGCGGCGUGCUUAACACAUGCAAGUCGAGCGGUAAGGCCCUUUCGGGGGUACACGAGCGGCGAACGGGUGAGUAACACGUGGGUGACCUGCCCUUAGCUCUGGGAUAAGCCUGGGAAACUGGGUCUAAUACCGGAUAUGACUCCAUGACGCAUGUUGUGGGGUGGAAAGCCUUGUGCGGCUAGGGAUGGGCCCGCGGCCUAUCAGCUUGUUGGUGGGGUGAUGGCCUACCAAGGCGACGACGGGUAGCCGGCCUGAGAGGGCGACCGGCCACACUGGGACUGAGACACGGCCCAGACUCCUACGGGAGGGCAGCAGUGGGGAAGUCUUGCGCAAUGGGCGGAAAGCCUGACGCAGCGACGCCGCGUGAGGGAUGACGGCC